UACGUAGGGUGCGAGCGUUGUCCGGAAUUAUUGGGCGUAAAGGGCUCGUAGGCGGUCUGUCACGUCGGGAGUGAAAACUCGGGGCUUAACUCCGAGCCUGCUUCUGAUACGGGCAGACUAGAGGUAUGCAGGGGAGAAUGGAAUUCCUGGUGUAGCGGUGAAAUGCGCAGAUAUCAGGAGGAACACCGGUGGCGAAGGCGGUUCUCUGGGAAUGACCUGACGCUGAGGAGCGAAAGUGUGGGGGAGCGAACAGG
rnacentral:rRNA from 1 species